UACGGGGGGGGGCAAGCGUUGUUCGGAAUUACUGGGCGUAAAGGGCUCGUAGGCGGCCAACUAAGUCAGACGUGAAAUCCCCAGGCUCAACCUGGGAACUGCGUCUGAUACUGGAUGGCUUGAAUCCGGGAGAGGGAUGCAGAAUUCCAGGUGUAGCGGUGAAAUGCGUAGAUAUCUGGAGGAAUACCGGUGGCGAAGGCGGCAUCCUGGACCGGCAUUGACGCUGAGGAGCGAAAGCGUGGGGAGCAAACGGG
rnacentral:rRNA from 1 species